AGCCAUUGGCCGACGGGGUUUCUGCGAGGUCUGUCGUGAAGAAAAAGCGUUGGGAGCUUGGCUGGAGUAGCGCGGGCUCCUGGCUGCGGAGGGACGAGGGACUUCUCUCGUAGGCUCAGCCCCGCAGCAGGCAUGUUCCCGGGAUUUCGGCCGCCAGGACCAGUUUAAACACAUCAUCCAUGGCCUUCUCCCUGCAGCCAGCAUCGCCCCAAAGCCAGCUGUGCCCCGCACACCUCCUCCCCGCAGCCCCAACCCGUCUCCAGAGAGACAAAGGAACUGCUUUGGGCAGGGAGAAAGAGCCCCUUCACUGCUCUCACCUGGAUUCCCCAUCCUCAGGUGCUCCCAACCCACCACCAGCUGACUUUCAUUCCUAGAUGCACCUGAGAGCCCUGCUGUGCCUUCCAUGACUUUAGACACAGGAGAAUUUUAGACUAUUUUUAAGCCAUUAAACGUUGGACAAUGGGCAGACAUUCAGCCUAUUGGUUAAGACCCCCACAUGCCACAUUGAAGUGCCUGGAUUUAAUUCCCAGACCCUGCUCCUGCCUCUAGCUUCCUGCCAGCAGAGACCCUAGGAGGCAGUGAUGUGUGGCUCAAGUAGUGGGUUCCUGCUGCCCCCAUGGGAAACCGGACUGUACUUCCUGCUCCCAGGAGCAGUUGCAGACAUUUGAAGAGUGAACCAGCAGAUUUCCAAAAUAAAUUUUUUAAAAAAUUAAAAAAUUUUUAAAAGCUUAAACAUUGCCAACAGUGAAUGAGAGCUAACUUCAUUUAGGGAUGAUGCCUCCUUGCCUGUGUUCUUUGGUGCUAGACCCUUGUAUGCCUUCUGAUAACACUCUGAAAUACCUUGGUGUUUUGUUUCUUUCUUCAGUAGGAGCUUGGUAACUGGAAGAGCUGUUUGGGGAUGUUUAUUUUGUGUGAAGUACUCUGGAACCUGCUUAAGAAACAUUGUUUCAUUUCAUCCUCUCAGUGACCCCAUGGGAGAACUCCUCUUGUCACCUCUGUUUUGAGUCACGUGUGAGACUCAAGUGUUAGUAACUGGUCCCCAGUGGCCUUGCUGUGACCCAAAUAUGAGUCUAUCCAGCAAUUCAGUGUUUGUGUGAGCAACUUUUUGUUUUGUUUUUCAGAUUUAUUUAUUUGAAAGACAGAGUAAGAGAGAGAGAGAGAGAGAGAGAGAGAGAGAGAGAGAGAGAGAGAGAGGUCCUCUAUCUGCUGGUUCACUCCCCAAAUGGCCACAACUGCCAGGUCUGGGCCAGGCUGAAGCCAGGAGCCAGGAACUCCAUCCUGGUUUCCCAUGUGAAUGGUGAGGGCUCAAGUGCUUCAGACAUCUUCCACUGCUUUCCUGGAAGUGGAGCAAGCCGGACUCACACUGGCAGGCUUCACAAGCAGUGGCUUAACCUGCACCGCCACAUCGGCUCCUACUGUUGUCGUUGGUUUUAAUUCUGUAUGUAGAAACUCCAUAAUAUGCUGUUAUUGUUUGUGCAUUAGUUAGUCACUUAUCAUUCUAAAAGUAGUUUUAGUGAGGUAACAUAUGUAUAAUUAACUAUUUAAAGUGCAUAAUUUGACAAGUUUUGAUGUAUCCUUAUACCUUUGAAACUAUUAUCACAAUCAAGAUAUUAAAUGUAUCCAUUGCUCCCAAAAGAUUCCUUGUGCCUUUUGGCAGUUCUUUCCUUCCACCUUUCUCUGCCAUUUCACUUUCACCUGAUUUCCAUCGCUGUAUAUUAGUUUGUAUUUUCUAGAAUUUUAUGUAACUGAUAAUUAUUGCUAUGGCCUACAUUGUGGUGCAGUAGGUUAAGCCACCACUUGUGACAGCAGCAUCCCAUAUCAGAGUACUGGUUCAAGUCCUAGUUUGCUUUGAUCCAGCUUUCUGAUAAUGUGCCUGGGAAAGUAGUAGACAGUGGCUCCAGUACUUGGGUCCCUGGCAGCCAUGUGGGAAACCUGGAUGGAAUUUUUAGCUCCUGGCUUUGGCCUGGCUGUUGCAGCCAUUUGGAAUGAAAGAUGAAAGAUAUCUCUCCCUCUCUCCCAUCCUCCCUCCACUGCCUGCCUUUCAAAUAAAUAAAUAAAUCUUUUUAAAAAAUUAUUGCUGGUUUCUUUCACUCGGCAUAAUCCAUUUUGUAAAAGUCCACACGUCCUUUUUAUUGCUGAAUAAUAUUGCAUUAUAUGAGUAGGCCAUCAUUGUUUAUCCAUCCACUUGCUGAUGAGAUUUGGAUUGUUUCCAACUUUUGGUUACUGGAAUAAAGCUGCUGUGAGCAUGUAUGCACAAAUCCUUGGAUGCACGCUUCCAUUUGUCUUGGAUAAAUAUUUAGGAAUGGA